UUGUUAGAGUGCAAUUUAUGCACUAGUUUUACAUUGUUUACUUCCCUUAAUAUCGAUGUUUUGCACUUAAUAAUAAUGAUUUACUUGUGUUUUACUUUUGUAGGUGCAAUUCUAUUGAUUGGUGAUAAAAUUGAGCUACAAGAUGAUUUUUAAGGAUGAUUGUUCUCUUGGAGAAAUUAUGAGCAGCAGAAGAACUUUAUUGAUAAGGCGUGGGCGCGUGCUGUCAACUGCGGACCUGCAGUUUUUUGUUUAACGUGUUUUGUAUUUUUGGCUAUUUUUGUAAUUACGAAUUUAAUAUUUAAGAUAUUAGUAUUUUUUUUUUAAAUAGAACUCUAAAAGAGAAGAGAGAGAGAGUAUUUAAGGAGGAAUCUAUUGUGAAAGAAAGGGGGGGAUUUUGGAUUGGAGAAAAAGAAAAGAAACCCUAGAUCUAAUUUUUCUCUUCUCUCUAUGAAGAACUAAACCUAUUUUUCUGGUUGAAGGAUAAUGAAGCUUUGAUUCAUCACUA
rnacentral:lncRNA from 1 species